GAUGAACGCUGGCGGCGUACUUAACACAUGCAAGUCGAACGGUGAACGAGGGAGCUUGCUCCCUCCGGAUCAGUGGCGAACGGGUGAGUAACACGUGAGCAAUCUGCCCUGGACUCUGGGAUAAGCGUUGGAAACGACGUCUAAUACCGGAUACGAGGCGUGGGGGCAUCCCCAACGCCUGGAAAGAACUUCGGUCCAGGAUGAGCUCGCGGCCUAUCAGCUAGUUGGUGAGGUAACGGCUCACAAAGGCGACGACGGGUAGCCGGCCUGAGAGGGUGACCGGCCACACUGGGACUGAGACACGGCCCAGACUCCUACGGGAGGCAGCAGUGGGGAAUAUUGCACAAUGGGCGAAAGCCUGAUGCAGCAACGCCGCGUGAGGGACGACGGCCUUCGGGUUGUAAACCUCUUUUAGUAGGGAAGAAGCGAAAGUGACGGUACCUGCAGAAAAAGCACCGGCUAACUACGUGCCAGCCGCCGCCGUAAAAC
rnacentral:rRNA from 1 species